ensembl:lncRNA
UGUCUAGAGGUGGUGGUGUUGUGUAGAGGUGCUGGUGUUGUGUAGAGGGGGUGGUGUUGUGUAGAGGUGCUGGUGUUGUGUAGAGGUGGUGGUGUUGUGUAGAGGUGCUGGUGUUGUGUAGAGGUGGUGGUGUUGUGUAGAGGUGGUGGUGUUGUGUAGAGGUGGUGGUGUUGUGUAGAGGUGCUGGUGUUGUGUAGAGGUGCUGGUGUUGUGUAGAGGUGCUGGUGUUGUGGUGUUGUGUAGAGGUGGUGGUGUUGUGUAGAGGUGGUGGUGUUGUGUAGAGGUGCUGGUGUUGUGUAGAGGUGCUGGUGUUGUGUAGAGGUGGUGUUGUGUAGAGGUGGUGUUGUGUAGAGGUGGUGGUGUUGUGUAGAGGUGGUGGUGUUGUGUAGAGGUGGUGGUGUUGUGUAGAGGUGCUGGUGUUGUGUAGAGGUGCUGGUGUUGUGUAGAGGUGCUGGUGUUGUGUAGAGGUGGUGUUGUGUAGAGGGGGUGGUGUUGGGUGGUGUUAACACCCCAGGCGCUGUGAGGACCGAGGUGUCUCAGGGCUCUGCUGGACUGCAGCCGGUGUGUCGCUGAACAAAUGUUUUCCUCUGUUCCUCAGAUCUGUCCUCAGAGAGCAGCACAGGUCGAUGGCCGCCCGAUGCUCACAGCAUUACCCCGAUGCUAACAGCAUUACCCUGGGCUGCGAUUGGCCGACACCAGCGGGGGCUCCGAUUGAUCCAGCAGCUCUCUGCCACGCUGGAUCAGCUCUCCUUCAUUUGUGGAGGAAAUAUUGAUAUUGGCCGAUAUCUGCUGUUGGAAACGCGCCUUAUGGGAGAGCAGCACGGGGUAUUGAUGGAGUAUUUUUAGGGCUUCUAUGUUUUGUCUCUGGGGUUAAGAAUUUAUGUUUAAUGCGAUUUCCCGAUGUUUCUGUUUGAAGAGUCAGCAGUCCCGGAGGGUGUUCGUAGCUCUCAGUCCACCAGCUCCCCCC